rnacentral:tRNA from 1 species
GAAGAUGUAACGAAUUUAAGUUUCGUAUAUAAAUAAUGAAAAUACUAUUUUUU